rnacentral:lncRNA from 1 species
UUCCUUCUUCCCGUCGGAAAGGGGAGAAGGGGAAUCGGCCGCUGGUGGCCCACGGCCGGCGACGCCCCCUGGUCGUCGGCCUGUGGCGGUGCCGGUGGUGCCACGCCCGGCGACGGCCGGCCGGAACGAGAGAGGAGAAGGCCGAACAAGGCAUCGGCUUCUCCAUCAAUCCGGCGGCUUUUCGGCUACAUUCCCAAGGAAACAGAG